rnacentral:rRNA from 1 species
UCACCCCAAGUGCUCGCUUAUGAUGAGUUUGAGCAAGAGCAAUUGCAGCAAGAUGAUGCAACGCUCCUUGAGGAAGAUCGUCUUCGGGCGGCUGUGAGAGUAGCGCGCUACCAGCAAGCCUUGCGCCGCUCCCAUAGCCGCAAGGUUCAUGCCCGAAGCUUUGAGGAAGGUGACCUUGUUCUUCGGCGCGUUUAA